CAAGCUUUAUUUCACUGCAAGCUCUUCUUCCGGCUCCAGAUGCGUGUUUCUUCAAUGCUGCUGGCAGAAACUUCUCCAGCUCCAGAUGCGUGUUUCUUCAAUGCUUCGGGCUGAAACUUCUCCAGCUCCAGAUGCGUGUUUCUU